UUCCUCUCUCCUCACGUGACGUGAGAGUCAGCUGACCCGCUGUCAGCGCCGUCAGCUUCCUUCUUGUGUUGCUGUUUUCUGUGUUUGUGAUGCAGUAGAACUCCUGCUGUGGUUCACCGCCGGCUGAAAAUGGAGCGGUACGAGUCGGACACGGAGGGAGACGAGCAGGAGAGGCCGCUGCUUCACGAGGAGAAACCACAAAAAGCUCCAGCAUGCUGUUCGGCUCGCUACACGCUGGCGUUUCUCUCCUCUUUCGGCUUCUUCGUGGUCUACUCCCUGAGGGUGAACCUCAGCGUGGCGAUGGUGGACAUGCUCAACACCACCCACGAGAACAGCCUCAACCACAGCGGCUCGCUGUGUCCUCCUCACACCAGCGCUGCUCCACCCAAACACAACCACACGGCCAGCCUUUAUAACUGGGACUCUGAGACUCAGGGCUGGAUCCUGGGCUCCUUCUUCUACGGCUACAUCCUGACUCAGAUCCCUGGAGGAUACCUGGCCGGCCGCCUCGGACCCAAGUGGCUGAUGGGCUUUGGAGUCCUGGGAACUGCGGUUUUUACGCUGCUCACCCCGACGGCCGCUGACCUGGGACCGAGCUACCUGUUCGCUGUCAGAGUGGUGGAGGGCAUCGGAGAGGGUGUCACGUUUCCCGCCAUGUACACCAUGUGGGCCGCCUGGGCUCCACCGCUGGAGAGGAGCCGGCUGCUCACCAUCUCCUAUAUCGGAGCCCAGCUGGGGACGGUAGUUUGUCUUCCUCUGUCUGGUCAGAUCUGCUUCUACCUGGACUGGACCUACGUCUUCUACAUAUUUGGCGCUGUCGGUCUGGUGUGGUUCGUCUUGUGGUCUUUUCUGGUCUUCAACAGUCCAAACACUCAUCCUCGGAUAUCGGAGCGGGAGAGACUGUACAUCACCAGCUCGCUGAAGAACGAGCUCUCCACCUCAGCAGACUACAUCCCCUGGAGAUCCAUAGUGACGUCCGUGCCUCUGUGGGCCAUCGUUGUGGCUCAUUUCUCCUACAACUGGACCUUCUACACUCUCCUCACCCUGCUGCCGACGUACAUGAAGAACAUCCUGGGCUUCAGCAUACAGCAGAACGGCAUGCUGUCGGCUCUGCCUUACCUGGGCUGUGCCAUCGUAGCCGUUCUGAGCGGACAAAUAGCCGAUUAUCUUAGAGAGAGCUGCCUGUAUUCCACCAUCCUGGUCAGGAAGGUCUGCUCCCUCAUCGGGAUGCUCGGAUCGGCAGCCUUCCUGGUGGCGGCGGGUUACACCGGCUGUAACUACGUCCUGGCUGUGAGCUUCGUCACCAUCUCCUCUUCUCUGGGCGGAGUGUCGGCGUCCGGCUUCAACAUCAACCACCUGGACAUCGCUCCUUCCUAUGCAGGGAUUUUGCUGGGAAUCACCAACACCUUUGCGACCAUCCCCGGCAUGGUGGGACCAGUUAUAGCCAGAAAUCUCACCAAACAGAACACCCUACAAGAAUGGCAGACUGUCUUCUACAUCGCUGCAGCCAUCAACCUGUUUGGAGCGUUGUUCUUCAACGCGUUUGGUAAAGGAACGGUGCAGCCCUGGGCGGUCCACACAUCCUACUCUCAUGGAGACUGAGGCGAACGACGAGCACCGGACUCAUCCGUUAGACAAAUGUGAAUCAUCGAAUGGAUGAGUCUCAACCACAGACUCAUUCUAAGGGUAAUUUUAGCGAGAGGUGAUUAUUCACCCAAUAUAUAGUGAGUAACGGCCGUGAUGCCUUCAAGGACGCUCCUCACUGUGUCUGGAGUCUUUAGUUAAUCAAAUACAGGAAGAUGCUCUUUGGAGGAAAAAAUAACUGAGCAGAAGCCAGUUAUCCUGCCACUGAUUCAAAGAAAUAAGACGGCGCUGAAAUGGUUGUAUAGUUCCAGGCUAGUACGGUCUGCUGAGGGUAGUUAGCUUAAAGAUAGGUCGAUAUUUGUGGGUUAUCCAAGACUUGUUGAUCGUCAGGCAUUGUACAUAUCAUAGUAAAUGAGCUUUUAUUCCAGUGUAGUUUCUUUUAGGUGUUCAGUUUGUCAGCCCAGUUGUUAUUUCUGCCUCCAAAGCACCUCUUCUUUAUUUUAUUUUAUUUUUUUACAUUUUAUUGCCAGUUCUUGAUACUUGUGCAUGUAAAGUUUGAGAUGACAAAAUGUGCUACUUAAGUAAAUGCCAGUAAGUUUAGUUUUAAAGGUGUUCCACAAAAUUAACUAAAAUCAUCCGAAACUAGACGCACACAUUGAACAGUGUCCUUUUUUUGUCUUUGUUCAGACUACACAGUCUGUUUGGGAAAAUGCCUUAAAGUGUCUUUCUUGCAAUCAAGCAUUUACAUUGUUUUGUAUUUACUUGUCACAUAGAGCAGUUAAGGGAUUUUGUGUGUUGUCUGUUCAGGUUUUCAGGUCCACCAAGCACCUCUUUCAUUUUAAACGGCUACAUUCAGCUGAUGUAUGUCGUAAACACGGGUUCUGAUAUUUCCAAACACUAUGAUGCUAAACGUCUAGUAACGUAUAAAUGAAGGAAAAACGCUGCUUUAAAGAGGUUCCUGGUGGACGCUGUCUUAUAUCAGUCACAGGAUUUGCACUUUUUGUGUCGAUUCUCAGGUAUCAUAAGGAUUGAAAAGGGUGUUUGCUUACUUUUUAACAGAUUAAGCUGAAACAUUGAGGUAGGUGACCUCGAGUUCUAAGUGUCAAUGGAAUUAGAUCCAAUUCUAAAAUUUAUUCCAACUCAAAUAUGAGUUUUUUAGUUUUUGUUUCUUAUGAGUGUGACUAGAUUAUGAUAUACACUGCUGUAAAAAAAGUAUUUGCCCCCUUCCUGAUUUCUGUGUUUUUUUGAAUAUUUAUCACUCGCAAGGGUUUCAAAUCAUCAAACCGAUUUUAAUAUCACACAGAGACAACGCAAGGAAAUACAAAAUCCAUCCAUUCUCUAUCCACCGCUUUAUCCUCACUAGGGUCAUGGGGGGUGCUGGAGCCUAUCCCUGCUGACUCGGGCGAAGGCAGGGGACACCCUGGACAGGUCACCAGUCUGUCACAGGGCUACAUAUACAGACAAACAAUCACACUCACACCUACGGACAAUUUAGAGUUAUCAAUUAACCUCAGCAUGUUUUUGGACUGUGGGAGGAAGCCGGAGUACCUGGAGAAAACCCACGCAUGCACAGGGUGAACAUGCAAACUCCAUGCAGAAAGAUCCCAGGCCCAGGCUGGAGUUUAAACCGGAGAUCUUCUUGUUGCAAGGCGAAAGUGCCAACCACGAGCCCACUGUGCAGCCCUGAUUUCACUAUUUAUAUAAAAAAAUCCUCCAGCUAAAAGAAAAAUUUGACAUUUUGGGACAUAAAUUAUGUAUAACAGCAUGUAAAGCUCACUAAAAACACAUAUCUCGUAGUUUUAGUCCAUACAAGAGGAAAAUUGACAGGACUUACAUGAAGUUGAGUCUCCACUCAAAAGAAUUUCUCUAAAUGCAAUAUAAUGCUUAAAAAGAUUUAAACUUAAAUCUUUAAACUUAAAUGUGGGAUUUAAAAGAGAAAAUAUCCAUAAUGUGAUUUGUCUGUUUUUUCUAUCUUAUGUCAUAGCCUGGCUAACUUCUUUCCUGUUUCCAGUCAUUUAGCAGAGCUAAUUACAAAAACAGCACCUUCCAGAAUGUCAAAUUAUUCCUUUAAGGCCCAAAAAUGUGGCUAAAAAUGGGAGAUGAUCAACAUGAGAGACAACUUGCUGAAACCACAUGACCAGCGUGUGCUUUUCUUCUCAGCCCAACAGCAUUUUUUCCUCCCUCCAUGCCAGAUUUGAUGCAUUAGCAUAAGAAGGUAAAGAAAAAUGGUUAAAAUCCGUCUUGAUGUACAAACUCAGGCCAUGGAGGAGGAAAAACGUCCCCAAAGUGCUGUCCUACCUGCCUGCGUCUGCCGGCCAAUCACGGCCUGGCGCUGACAACUCGACGUCAAACUGCCGGCGGCGUCGGGGAUGUGAUCGGGAACACAAUAAGCUUUUUUUUUGUUUGUUUUUAAAAAUAAAGCAGGACGUCAGGAGGAUCCCAUUGGAAAAAUCAGGAGCCGAAAUCCUGGAGACAAACAUCCAUCUCUGAUUGUUUUGCCAAGGAAAUGUCACUUACUACAGUCGAAAUACAGAAUGCCUGAGGAUGUCCUUUUUCCUUUCCUGGUUGUAUCUGUUUCAUACAUCCUGUCCCGUGUACCAGCCUGUACGUCCUUGGUGUGUGUGUGUGUGUGUGUGCGUGUGUGUUCGUGCCACAUCCCUUCCCGUCCUCCUGCUCCUUGAUCCAAAGCUACUGGGAUCAGCUGAAUAUGCUAUCACACGCCGACACCUUUCGAGUUGAAUUGGAUCCUUUGAUGAUGCGAUGAAUCAGGGACAGGGCCAAUUAGAUUGGAAAGAGCGAGUGUGUGUGUGUGCGCGCGUGCACGUGGGCCAGCGUUUAAUCUUUUAUCUCCGUCUCGUCUGGUGGUCGAGUGUGUUCUCACAUGUCAGAGCCAUUUACAAGUGCCUGAACGCAUCCUCUUUAUCUCCUCAUGUAUUUAAAUCGAAAAAAAAAUUAAAGAAACGACUCCCUGUAUUGAAAUUAGACCCAUUUUUUACGCUUAGUAUUUUACCUCUGUAAAAAAAAGAGCAAAAAUUAUAUUAUAUAUAUCAAGUGUAUGUUGUACAUUUUUAUUUCUAUUUUGUUUUUUAAAAUAACUGUUUCUAACAUGUACGAUGGAUGUAGCUCUUGCUUUCGAGAAGGAACAGGAAGUACUUUGUAGAUACUGAAGGGUGGCCAGGUCUGUGAGAAAACUAAAGUGAAAUGUGUGUCUUACCUUCCGCCUCCAAUAAAACGAGAGAAAACAGUGAAACCA